rnacentral:rRNA from 1 species
AUUGAACGCUGGCGGCAUGCUUUACACAUGCAAGUCGAACGGUAACAGGCCGCAAGGUGCUGACGAGUGGCGAACGGGUGAGUAAUGCAUCGGAACGUGCCCAGUCGUGGGGGAUAACGCAGCGAAAGCUGUGCUAAUACCGCAUACGAUCUAUGGAUGAAAGCGGGGGACCGUAAGGCCUCGCGCGAUUGGAGCGGCCGGUGUCAGAUUAGGUAGUUGGUGGGGUAAAGGCUCACCAAGCCAACGAUCUGUAGCUGGUCUGAGAGGACGACCAACCACACUGGGACUGAGACACGGCCCAGACUCCUACGGGAGGCAGCAGUGGGGAAUUUUGGACAAUGGGCGCAAGCCUGAUCCAGCAAUGCCGCGUGCAGGAAGAAGGCCUUCGGGUUGUAAACUGCUUUUGUACGGAACGAAAAGGUUUGGGUUAAUACCCUGGGCCGAUGACGGUACCGUAAGAAUAAGCACCGGCUAACUACGUGCCAGCCGCCGCCGUAACAC